UGUUUUGAUUAUCCAAAAGAGUGGCCGGACCUCUUUUCUAUUUUGGGCCAACAGCUUCAGUCAGCGGAUACUCUUACUUCACACAGAAUUUUUAUGAUAAUCUUCCGAACUCUAAAGGAGUUGUCAACUAAACGGCUUACAUCGGACCAAAAAAACUUUGCCGAGAUAUCCUCCCGUUUCUUUGAUUAUUGCUGGCACCUAUGGCAGAGUGAUGUAAAGACUAUAUUGUCUGGUUUCUCGGCACUUUCUCAAACUUCUGAGCAGCAAAAUGAUGAACUAUAUUUGACGUGUGAGCGAUGGUUGUUGUGUCUCAAAAUCAUAAGACAGCUAAUAAUUUCA